ensembl:lncRNA
GACCUGUACAAAAAACGGCCCCUGCAAUGUGUAUCAUACUGAACUGCCUUGAAUCCUUCGUGUCGAUUCCUGGCCUUGGUAGAGUAGAGUAGAAUAGAGUAGUAUAGAGUAGAGUAGAGUAGUAUAGAGUAGAGUAGAGUAGAGUAGAGUAGAGUAGAGUAGAGUAGAGUAGAGUAGAAUAGAGUAUAGUAGAGUAGUAUAGAGUAGAGUAGAGUAGAGUAGAGUAGAGUAGUAUAGAGUAGAGUAGAGUAGACUAGAGUAGAGUAGACUAGAGUAGUAUAGAGUAGAGUAGAGUAGACUAGAGUAGAGUAGAGUAGAGUAGAGUAGUAUAGAGUAGAGUAGAGUAGAGUAGUAUAGAGUAGUAUAGAG